UGGGGAAUAUUGCACAAUGGGCGCAAGCCUGAUGCAGCCAUGCCGCGUGUGUGAAGAAGGCCUUCGGGUUGUAAAGCACUUUCAGCGAGGAGGAAGGUGGUGAACUUAAUACGUUCAUCAAUUGACGUUACUCGCAGAAGAAGCACCGGCUAACUCCGUGCCAGCAGCCGCGGUAAUACGGAGGGUGCAAGCGUUAAUCGGAAUUACUGGGCGUAAAGCGCACGCAGGCGGUUUGUUAAGUCAGAUGUGAAAUCCCCGGGCUCAACCUGGGAACUGCAUUUGAAACUGGCAAGCUAGAGUCUCGUAGAGGGGGGUAGAAUUCCAGGUGUAGCGGUGAAAUGCGUAGAGAUCUGGAGGAAUACCGGUGGCGAAGGCGGCCCCCUGGACGAAGACUGACGCUCAGGUGCGAAAGCGUGGGGAGCAAACAGGAUUAGA
rnacentral:rRNA from 1 species